rnacentral:sRNA from 1 species
AGCAGCUCAAAUGUGAAAAACAAGACCCAGAGAGGGGAAAUCAUUUGAAUCCUGUCCUGGUAUUGCUUUGUGUUCCUGGAUUUGGAGAAUUUCUGGGAACACAGGAAAAGGAAAGUGAAUGCCACCAGGAUCUGAACCCAAGAUUCCAGCCUUGGUCACCACCCUGACCCUGAGAAUGCCACUGGGAUGGGGAGAACUUGUCAGUCUUCAUCCUUCCCCACAAGUAUACUGAGGCCAGGACAGUCUUAGGCCCCUGCUGCCCUCCUGGCUCUCAGUGGAGAGAAAAGAGGAAAUAAAUUUGGACCCAGCCUUGAGAUCCUGGAAGAGCUCCUUUGGAUUUAGCCUUGGGAUCCUAGCAUCUCCUCACAAAAUUAUGAUCUUCCCUGGGCAUCUCUAAGCCACCAAUUGGGUUGCCUGCACCUGAGCAAAUACAGCAAGCACCUGCCUUAGAGAGCUCUUAGAGGGAUUAUCCGCAGCCUGAAGAAAGAAGGUUACAACUGAGGAAGAACUUCUGAACAGGGAAGAGUGGAAGAAAAGACUGCAGUAGGUAGAGCAUCAAGGGAAGCUGUGGAAAUAUAUUUUCUUA